rnacentral:rRNA from 1 species
UACGUAGGCAGCGAGCGUUGUUCGGAAUUACUGGGCGUAAAGAGUGUGUAGGCGGCGCUCUAAGUUCGGUGUGAAAUCUCUCGGCUUAACCGGGAGGGUGCGGUGAAUACUGAGGGACUAGAGUACGGGAGAGGAAAGUGGAAUUCCUGGUGUAGCGGUGAAAUGCGUAGAUAUCAGGAGGAACACCGGUGGUGUAGACGGCUUUCUGGACCGUAACUGACGCUGAGACACGAAAGCGUGGGUAGCAAACAGG